rnacentral:rRNA from 1 species
UAGGGAAUCUCCCACAAUGGACGCAAGUCUGAUGGAGCAACGCCGCGUGAGUGAAGAAGGUCUUCGGAUCGUAAAACUCUGUUGUUAGAGAAGAACACGAGUGAGAGUAACUGUUCAUUCGAUGACGGUAUCUAACCAGCAAGUCACGGCUAACUACGUACCAG